GCUAAUGGCUACGUUGCAGGUUUAUUAAAGCUUCGAUCCAUCCUUUCACGCGUGAAAUCUUUUGUGCUACAAUGGUUUCUAAGAUGAGUGAUGAAUAUGGAGCUUCUACUGGAUGUGUUCAAGCAUUUUUUUGUUUUCAGGUAUUGAUAUAAAUUAAGUGAUGUAGGAGCUAAUUGAAUGGGUUAAAUGUUUAAUAAACAUGUUUGGGUCCCCUGCAUAGACCUGUUGAGGGCAGUAUCCUGUUUAAAAUAUUCUUUUAACAGAUAAUUGUUUUAAUGGAUUUUUCUAAUAUUUUAUGAACUUUAUUAUUUAUUAUGGCCUUUAUUGUUGGUCCUACAGCUAUGUAAGGUGACACAGAAUUUAAUGGAGCCCUUAUUUAAUAUGCAAAUGUGGGCAAUGGAUGCAUCACAUAAUGCAAGAAUU